UUUCUCUGCUGGUCGUUUUUACCAUCCAGCAUAGUCUUUUGACCCUUUGUCUUUGUCUCAUGUCUCAUUAAGCUGUCGCUUUUUUAAUUUCUCCAAGCCGAGGGUACCAAACUGUGAGAACUCUUAGGUUCUUUUAUGCUACUAACCCGUAGGUUCAUUCCCAGCCAACAAUGCAUGCACUACCAAGCCAAUCAUCAAGGAUCGCUCUUCUUAUAACUCUCAGCCAUAGUCUUUGCACCCUUUGUCUUUGUCUCAUGUCUCAUUAAGCUGUCGCUUUUUUUACUUUCUGCAAGCCGAGGGUACCAAACCAGCCAACAAUGCAUGCACUACCAAGCCAAUCAUCAAUGAUCUCUCUUCUUUUAACUCCCAGCCAUAGUCUUUUGACCCUUUGUCUUUGUCUCAUGUCUCAUUAAGCUGUCGCUUUGUUUAAUUUCUCCAAGCCGAAGGUACCAAACAGUGAGAACUCUUAGGUUCUUUUAUGCUACUAACCCGUAGGUUCAUUCCCAGCCAACAAUGCAUGCACUACCAAGCCAAUCAUCAAGGAUCGCUCUUCUUUUAACUCUCAGCCAUAGUCUUUGCACCCUUUGUCUUUGUCUCAUGUCUCAUUAAGCUGUCGCUUUUUUUACUUUCUGCAAGCCGAGGGUACCAAACCAGCCAACAAUGCAUGCACUACCAAGCCAAUCAUCAAUGAUCUCUCUUCUUUUAACUCCCAGCCAUAGUCUUUUGACCCUUUGUCUUUGUCUCAUGUCUCAUUAAGCUGUCGCUUUGUUUAAUUUCUCCAAGCCGAAGGUACCAAACAGUGAGAACUCUUAGGUUCUUUUAUGCUACUAACCCGUAGGUUCAUUUCCAGCCAACAAUGCAUGCACUACCAAACCAAUCAUCAAGUAUCUCUCUUCUUUUCGUUCCCAGCCAUUGUCUUUUGAUACUUUGUCUCUCUCUUAUGUCUCAUUAAGCUGUCGCUUUUUUUAAUUUCUCCAAGCUGAGGGUACCAAACUGUGAGAACUCGUAGGUUCUUUUAUGCUACUAACCCGUAGGUUCAUUCCCAGCCAACAAUGCAUGCACUACCAAGCCAAUCAUCAAGGAUCGCUCUUCUUUUAACUCCCAGCCAUAGUCUUUGACCCUUUGUCUUUGUCUCAUGUCUCAUUAAGCUGUCGCUUUUUUAAUUUCUCCAAGCCGAGGGUACCAAACUGUGAGAACUCUUAGGUUCUUCUAUGCUACUAACCCGUAG
rnacentral:lncRNA from 1 species